rnacentral:rRNA from 1 species
AGCAGCCGCGGUAAUUCCAGCUCCAAUAGCGUAUAUUAAAGUUGUUGCAGUUAAAAAGCUCGUAGUUGAAUUUCGGGAUCAGUACGCUGGUCGUGCCUCCGGUAUGUACUGGUGUCACUGAUUCCUCCCUUCUGAAGAACCAUCAUGCCAUUAAUUUGGUGUGGUGGGGAAUCAGGACUGUUACUUUGAAAAAAUUAGAGUGUUUAAAGCAGGCUCGCGCUUGAAUACAUUAGCAUGGAAUAAUGAAAUAGGACGUUUAUCCUAUUUUGUUGGUUUCUAGGAUUGACGUAAUGAUUAAUAGGGAUAGUUGGGGGCAUUAGUAUUCAAUUGUCAGAGGUGAAAUUCUUGGAUUUAUUGAAGACUAACUACUGCGAAAGCAUUUGCCAAGGAUGUUUUCAUUAAUCAAGAACGAAAGUUAGGGGAUCGAAGACGAUCAGAUACCGUCGUAGUCUUAACCAUAAACUAUGCCGACUAGGGAUCGGAUGAUGUUAAUUUUUUAAUGACUCAUUCGGCGCCUUACG